CCUACGGGUGGCAGCAGUAGGGAAUUUUCGGCAAUGGUGGGAACCCUGACCGAGCAACGCCGCGUGAACGAAGAAGUUAUUCGUAAUGUAAAGUUCUUUUUACAGGGAAGAAAGUGAAAUGUGACGUUACCUGAAGAAUAUGCCCCGGCUAACUACGUGCCAGCAGCCGGUGCAAUACGCAGGGAGCGAGCGUUAUCUGCAUUUAUUGGACGUAAGGGGUGCGUUGAUGGCAUAGUAAGUCUUUUGUAAAAAUGCUGGGCGCAACCCAGUAGGGCAAAAGAUACUGCAAGGCUAGAGUAUGACAGAGGCAAGUGGAACGACAGGUGUAGCGGUAAAAUGCGUAGAUAUAUGUAAGAACACCAGUGGCGAAGGCGGCUGGCCGGGUCGAGACUGACGUUGAGGCACGAAAGCGUGGGGAGCAAACAGGAUUAGAUACCCUUGUAGUC
rnacentral:rRNA from 1 species